AGUGAACGCUGGCGGUAGGCCUAACACAUGCAAGUCGAACGGAAACACAGUAAGAGCUUGCUCUUACGGGUGGCGAGUGGCGGACGGGUGAGGAAUACAUCGGAAUCUACUUUUUCGUGGGGGAUAACGUAGGGAAACUUACGCUACUACCGCAUACGACCUACGGGUGAAAGCAGGGGAUAUUCGGACCUUGCGCGAUUGAAUGAGCCGAUGUCGGAUUAGCUAGUUGGCGGGGUAAAGGCCCACCAAGGCGACGAUCCGUAGCUGGUCUGAGAGGAUGAUCAGCCACACUGGAACUGAGACACGGUCCAGACUCCUACGGGAGGCAGCAGUGGGGAAUAUUGGACAAUGGGCGCAAGCCUGAUCCAGCCAUACCGCGUGGGUGAAGAAGGCCUUCGGGUUGUAAAGCCCUUUUGUUGGGAAAGAAAAGCAGCAUGUUAAUACCCCGCUGUUCUGACGGUACCCAAAGAAUAAGCACCGGCUAACUUCGUG
rnacentral:rRNA from 1 species